CUGGCUGCUCGGUCCCCAGUGUCAGGACGGGGAAUUUUAAAGAAUAGCCGAAAGUUCGACUGCAAGAUGCGGUCAAACACCCCCAGAGUAUCUUGAACUUUAGCGGAGCACAUGGCUUUCCAGCUAGAGACCACAUUUCGCAGCUUCUUUUGCAGUUUCCUAGAAAAUGUAAACAACCAGGGUGAUCACGUGAGAUGCAAAAAUGGAAGGUAAAGAUUGAAGAUGACAGACUGUCAGAGCCUGUAUGACAUCACGUAGCAGAGCCACCUAGCAGUGUCCCCAGCCCACGGCUGCAGUGUUCCAUGAGGGACAAGUUAAAAUUGAUGCUACUUAAGAUUUCAAAGGAGAAGACCCAAGAUCUCUUCACACCUCCUCCUCUUUUUUUGUCCACCGCUCAUGCGUCCUUCCGACUGUCACUCUCUGGGCACACUCAAAGGCAAAACAUUAGACCGUGUUACUGUGUCACUGCAAGAAGGCAGAUCUGGUGCCGGGCAAGUGUAAGACAAUCCUACUGAGACAAAGAGGGACGCUUAGAAGGUAUGAAAAGUAACAAAAGACAACACACAAGCGUCGAGAGGGCCCGUAAAGAGAGAUCUAGGAUCCAGACAUGAACGUGUAUGUGAAUGGGAGACAAGGCAUUCAGGAGUGGAAGGGAGCAAGACCAAGCAAUCAGGACCCACGUGUAAAAGACAUUAAGUGUGAAAUCGAGAAGCAGCUCAUUACAUUAGAUUAGUGCUUAGAGGGAAAUGUGACUCAAAUUCUGUCAUUCUCUUUUCAUAAUAGAAAUGUCACAAUUAAGACUAAAAGAAACGAGGGAAUACAAAUAAAAGACCCAGCUUGAAAUCCCAAGUUUUCAGAAAGAAUAUCCUGUCUGUAUCCCCUAGCGCUCCUGCAAAACAUGACUCAAACCCACAAGGUCCAGAAAGGAGCUAAAUUGCAAUGCUUUCACCUGAAACAAUCUCCCUGGCGUACUCUAAAUUUUCGUUAAGUGAAAAGAAGGUUGCGACAGAAAAUUCUAUGCACAGCCUGCACUGAAGCCCCUGGAAAGCCAUUGGCAAACUGCCUCAGGGCGUAUCAGAAAUGGGGUAUAAAUGCGACAUCUUGUACUUG